UAGUAUUUUGCUGGUUUCGGGCCAAAUU
rnacentral:sRNA from 1 species